GUGGGGAAUAUUGGACAAUGGGCGAAAGCCUGAUCCAGCCAUGCCGCGUGUGUGAAGAAGGUCUUCGGAUUGUAAAGCACUUUAAGUUGGGAGGAAGGGCAGUAAGUUAAUACCUUGCUGUUUUGACGUUACCGACAGAAUAAGCACCGGCUAACUUCGUGCCAGCAGCCGCGGUAAUACGAAGGGUGCAAGCGUUAAUCGGAAUUACUGGGCGUAAAGCGCGCGUAGGUGGUUUUGUAAGUUGGAGGUGAAAUCCCCGGGCUCAACCUGGGAACUGCCUCCAAAACUGCAUGACUAGAGUACGGUAGAGGGUAGUGGAAUUUCCUGUGUAGCGGUGAAAUGCGUAGAUAUAGGAAGGAACACCAGUGGCGAAGGCGACUACCUGGACUGAUACUGACACUGAGGUGCGAAAGCGUGGGGAGCAAACAGGAUUAGAUACCCGAGUAGUC
rnacentral:rRNA from 1 species